AUACGGAGGAUGCGAGCGUUAUCCGGAUUUGCUGGGCGUAAAGGGCGUGUAGGCGGUCUUGCAAGUCAGAAGUGAAAUUCCUGAGCUCAACUCGGGCGCUGCUUCUGAAACUGCAGGACUUGAGUGCUGGAGGGGAUAGCGGAAUUCCUAGUGGAGCGGUAAAAUGCGCAGAUAUUAGGAAGAACACCGGUGGCGAAGGCGGCUAUCUGGACAGUAACUGACGCUGAGGCGCGAAAGCGUGGGGAGCAAACAGGAUUAGAUACCCUGGUAGUCCACGCUGUAAACGAUGAAUACUAGGUGUAGGGGGUAUCGACUCCCUCUGUGCCGCAGUUAACACAAUAAGUAUUCCGCCUGGGGAGUACGGCCGCAAGGUUGAAACUCAAAUGAAUUGGCGGGG
rnacentral:rRNA from 1 species